UCCCUGGUGGCUCAGAUGGCAAAGACUCUGCCUGUAAUGCAGAAGACCUGGGUUUGAUCCCUAGAUUGGGAA
rfam:TPA: Bos taurus chromosome 14, whole genome shotgun sequence.